GCCUCAUAGAGGGGAAUAGCCUUCCGAAAGGGAGAUUAAUACCGCAUAAGAUUGUAGUACCGCAUGGUACAGCAAUUAAAGGAGCAAUCCGCUAUGAGAUGGGCCCGCGGCGCAUUAGCUAGUUGGUGAGGUAACGGCUCACCAAGGCGACGAUGCGUAGCCGACCUGAGAGGGUGAUCGGCCACAUUGGGACUGAGACACGGCCCAGACUCCUACGGGAGGCAGCAGUGGGGAAUAUUGCACAAUGGGGGAAACCCUGAUGCAGCAACGCCGCGUGAGUGAUGACGGCCUUCGGGUUGUAAAGCUCUGUCUUCAGGGACGAUAAUGACGGUACCUGAGGAGGAAGCCACGGCUAACUACGUGCCAGCAGCCGCGGUAAUACGUAGGUGGCGAGCGUUGUCCGGAUUUACUGGGCGUAAAGGGAGCGUAGGCGGAUUUUUAAGUGAGAUGUGAAAUACUCGGGCUUAACCUGAGUGCUGCAUUUCAA
rnacentral:rRNA from 1 species